rnacentral:rRNA from 1 species
UACGUAGGGUGCAAGCGUUGUCCGGAAUUAUUGGGCGUAAAGAGCUCGUAGGCGGUUUGUCGCGUCUGCUGUGAAAACUCGGGGCUUAACUCCGGGCCUGCAGUGGGUACGGGCAGACUAGAGUGCGGUAGGGGAGACUGGAAUUCCUGGUGUAGCGGUGAAAUGCGCAGAUAUCAGGAGGAACACCGAUGGCGAAGGCGGGUCUCUGGGCCGUAACUGACGCUGAGGAGCGAAAGCGUGGGGAGCGAACAGG